GACGAACGCUGGCGGCGUGCUUAACACAUGCAAGUCGAACGGUGAAGGGAAGCUUGCUUCCCGGAUCAGUGGCGAACGGGUGAGUAACACGUGGGCAAUCUGCCCCAGACUUUGGGAUAACUACUCGAAAGAGUAGCUAAUACCGAAUAUUCAGCCUUGCAGGCAUCUGCGAGGCUGGAAAGUUUCUCGGUCUGGGAUGAGCCCGCGGCCUAUCAGCUAGUUGGUGAGGUAAUGGCUCACCAAGGCGACGACGGGUAGCCGGCCUGAGAGGGCGACCGGCCACACUGGGACUGAGACACGGCCCAGACUCCUACGGGAGGCAGCAGUGGGGAAUAUUGCGCAAUGGGCGAAAGCCUGACGCAGCAACGCCGCGUGCGGGAUGAAGGCCU
rnacentral:rRNA from 1 species